UACGUAGGGGGCAAGCGUUGUCCGGAUUUAUUGGGCGUAAAGAGCGUGUAGGCGGUUUGGUAGGUCCGCUGUGAAAACUCGAGGCUCAACCUCGAGACGCCGGUGGAAACCAUCAGGCUAGAGUCCGGAAGAGGCGAGUGGAAUUCCCGGUGUAGCGGUGAAAUGCGCAGAUAUCGGGAGGAACACCAAUGGCGAAGGCAGCUCGCUGGGACGGUACUGACGCUGAGACGCGAAAGCGUGGGGGGCAAACAGGG
rnacentral:rRNA from 1 species